UUACUCAGUCCCAAUGAUGACUGUUGGUAUAUAUCUUCAUCGAAACUCUUUUCCCCUAGAUAAGAAAUAACUCCAGUGACUUGAAAAUGUCCUCUAAACAUUGAAAUGUAUAGACGCCUUUUAGCGUACCUCCUAGCUCACAAUUUCCCCUUUAGCUUUACUUGCCCUCAUUCUAUAGGGUGGACUUCAGGAUAUUAAAAAAUGACUUCACUUCCCUGGCCAUAGUUAAUGAACCAGGGGUGGGUGUCUUAAUCUAAUAGACCCUUCCUGGAAAAUUUUAGGAUUGAGACAAAAUAAAAAAUUAGCAUUAGUAAAAUCAAAGGAAAAAUGAUGAAUAAUAGCACAAUUCAUAUCAGAGACAAAGGACUGUUUCCUCUAAUAUACAAACACUUGGAAAUCAAUUUUAAGAAGACCAAUAACCCAACAGAAGAAAAACUGGGCAAAGCAUAAAGAAGGCUCCCCAAAAUGUAUAUAUUAUAUAUACAUGUA
rnacentral:lncRNA from 1 species